rnacentral:lncRNA from 1 species
AAAAUUGUAAGAAAAACUCGAAAAUUUUUAUUAAAAAUUUGGAGGAUGUUUAUUUAGUCAAUUGUCUAUUAGUUUAUCACAAAAAAUUGGAAGGAAAUGCAUUGCAUGAUGGAUUUAACUGAUUUAAAUUGAUUAUAUAGCGAGCUGACAAACACUGUGAGUGUAGAAAAUAUGUUGUAAUUGAUGAAAGAAGAUUAAACACACCAUAAUCAUUUAUAUAUAAUGAUUUACUACAAUAUUUUUUACACUUUAUAUAUUG